rnacentral:rRNA from 1 species
UACGGAGGAUGCAAGCGUUAUCCGGAUUCAUUGGGUUUAAAGGGUGCGCAGGCGGAUUGAUAAGUCAGGGGUGAAAUCCCACAGCUCAACUGUGGAACUGCCCUUGAUACUGUUAGUCUAGAGUAUAGUUGAAGUGGGCGGAAUGUGUCAUGUAGCGGUGAAAUGCUUAGAUAUGACACAGAACACCGAUCGCGAAGGCAGCUCGCUAAGCUAUAACUGACGCUCAUGCACGAAAGCGUGGGGAUCAAACAGG